AACAAUAUAAUAACCUGCGUCAAUGAUAUUAUUGAGUAUAUUAACAUGCCAAAUGUAUAAAAAAAAUCUCUAAAUCAAAAUUGUGAAAUGUGUAAAACUGAAUUUUCCAUUUUUAGAAAUUAGAAAGUUUUUGUUAAAUUGUGAGAGGAAAUCGUAUGUCCAAAUUUGGAGGAAGAAGGGACUUUGAUCCUGAGAGUUACAAGGGGAGCGAGCAGGGAUACAGAGACGAUAAUUCGUUCCAUAGUAUAAACAGGCAAUCUAGUGUUGUAUCCAACUAUACAGCAUUCUCUAAACCAACCCUCUCACCCCAGAACAGUUUAUUGUUCCCGAGAACUCCAAUAGUUGUCGAGACAGGAUUAAACAGAACAAGGAUGGGAACUAUGGGAGUAGAUGAGAGUAUAUUUCACUGGAAGAUAUUAAACCUGAGCAGAGCCAAGCUGAAGGCCUCCAGCAGAACUUCGGCCCUGCUCUCCGGGUUCGCCAUGGUCGCCAUGGUGGAGAUACAGAUCGAUGAAACUAUCCCGAGGGGUUUGUUGAUCGCCUUCGCAGUUUGCACAGUUUUAUUGAUUGCAGUACACAUGUUAGCUCUGAUGAUAUCCACCUGUAUACUGCCUAAUGUAGAGGCUGUAUCCAACCUACAUGUUCAGACUCCGAAUACUGUAUUUGAGUCUCCGCACAGGAAGAUGUCCAAGAUUAUAGAACUGUCUUGGGGAUUCAGUACUGUACUAGGAAUCCUACUCUUUCUAGUUGAGAUAGCAAUCCUCUGUUGGGUGAAGUUCUAUAAGUUUGAUGUAGUAGUUGCCUGGGUAGCAACAGCUCUACUUAUUCCAAUCAUUUUCAUCUUCAUCGCCUUUGCAGCACAUUUCUACUUAAAGUUGGUGUCCCACAAGUCCGAGGUGUAUGAGCACAAUAUGAAGGAGCUGGAGCUGCUGAAGGAUCAGCUAGACGAGGGGAACCAGAUUUUUAAUGUACCUCAGAUAUCAGUUUUACCAUGGGUUCAGAAAAAAAUGAUAAUUGUCUAGACUACGAUAUACAAGCUCAGAUAAAUAUAGCUUUUGAAACAGUUUCAAAUUUAUGAUCGGUAUCUCUCAACACACUUGAGAUAUACCAAUCAACUCAAAAUGAACAAAUAUGAUAAAUACAUAGAUAUUAGAUAAUGAUUUAUCAAUCUUUAUUUAAAUAUGUUCAUAUAAUGUUAAGUGCCUUUGUUAAAUAUAUCUGAUAACGAUG
rnacentral:misc_RNA from 1 species